UAUUAGAUCUACACAAAACAAAAUCCUCCCACUACACAAAACCCUCCCGCCACUCUUUCUCCAUUCAUUUCCUUCCCCUUAUUUUUCUCCAUUCUCUUAAUCUAAACAAAAAACCUAAAUCUCGGCCAUGAAUCUCGCAUAGCUGCCAAAAUCUAAGAACAGUGGUGUGAUUCAAAUAUGGAACGUGAAGGAGAAGUGGUCUUAUAGCUUGUUGGUUUGAGCAACUCUCUUUGGAUGUUAUGCGCAAUAAAGUCGAAUGAGGAGAAGUCAUCUAAGCUUGAGACAUUUUCUGAUGCAGAUUUUAGUUAAUGAGUCUAUAGGGUUAUAUUUGGCUUGCUCAUUGCUGUUCCAAUUGGAUUAGCAUACUACUUCUUGCUGGAUUUAUAAAGAAAGGCUAAGGAGAACCAUGGAAAUCUCCCUCCAUUUUGGGACCUAUUUCUCAAGACUCAUAGGCUAAAGGACUCAUACGAGUUAUGUUCACAACAAGCCAAAGAAAUUGAGGAGAGGGUUUUGGCAAGGGCUGAAGAGUUGCGUGCUGAAGGGGAAGAUCCAGAUUACGAUGCAAUCUUUCUCGAGCUUUUUGGGAGGGUUAAGAAAAGGAAACAGGUUCCUGGAGUUGGGCAAGCGACAAGCUUGUAUUUUCCAUUUGCUACCAGCUCAGUUGAGGGCUCUGCAUCUUUCGGCUCGUCAUGCCUCAGCACUGAUCAGGUUGAUGAGCUUUUCGAGCGACGAGUACAGCUAGGCAUGCACAAACCGACCCGGCCCGGCGGUUAACCGCCGGUUCGGGUCCGCCGGUUCAUGAACCGGAACCGGGCCCGGAACCGGCGGGUUGAACCGGCAGAAGGGUUGAAGGGUAGGAAGGG